GACAGAGGUGCCGAGCGUUAGGCGGAAUCACUGGGCUUAAAGCGUGUGUAGGCGGACCCGUCAGUGUCUUGUGAAAUCCCACGGCUCAACCGUGGAACGGCUGGGCAUACUGCGGGUCUUGAGAGACCUAGGGGCGAGCGGAACAGGCGGUGGAGCGGUGAAAUGCGUAGAUAUCAGGAAGAACACCCGUGGCGAAGGCGGCUCUCUGGUACGUGACUGACGCUGAGACGCGAAAGCGUGGGGAGCAAACAGG
rnacentral:rRNA from 1 species